ACUCCUACGGGAGGCAGCAGUGGGGAAUAUUGGACAAUGGGCGAAAGCCUGAUCCAGCCAUGCCGCGUGUGUGAAGAAGGUCUUCGGAUUGUAAAGCACUUUAAGUUGGGAGGAAGGGCUUCUGGCUAAUAUCCAGGAGUUUUGACGUUACCAACAGAAUAAGCACCGGCUAACUUCGUGCCAGCAGCCGCGGUAAUACGAAGGGUGCAAGCGUUAAUCGGAAUUACUGGGCGUAAAGCGCGCGUAGGUGGUUCAGCAAGUUGAAGGUGAAAU
rnacentral:rRNA from 1 species